GCUCACAGGUAAGAAUCACCAUGACAUGAGGAACUGUAUUAAAGGGUCUUCCCCAGCACUAGGAAGGCUGAGAUCCACUGCUGUCGGACUUUCCAUGGCAGUAUAGAUUGCAAGAGACAGUUGCGUACAGGAUAUAGCAUGGCAAUGGAGUGAAAGGCCUGCCUGCAAGUUGAGAGUGUGAAAGGGGGAGAAUUUGCAAACCAUCUGCUGAGCUUGGUGAGUGGGAGGCUUGGAUGCCACGCCAGACAAACCAAAUGAACUGUGUGGUUCAUCUCAUGUGCCCAGAGGUGGAAACUCGACCCAUAUAUCUCAUCCACCCUGACAAAUAAUUGAUUCAGAAUGGAUCACCGCCAUUGAUAGAAGACCAGAAGCUCUGAAACUGCAGGAUGAGAACAAAGAAUAAAUGCUAGAUAGAUUCAUGAAAAGGACUCCAGGAAUUUAGAUGGUGGUCAUUCCAACCACCAUCAAAUGGGAUUUUGUGGAACUGAGAGAUUUAGCACAGCAAAGUGGAGAGAUAGCCUACAGAAUGUAAAAACCUCCUUGCUAGAUAUACAACUGGCCAUGCAUUCACAAUUAGCAUACUUUAAGAACUUAAAGCUGGUGAAAUGUAAGUGGCUUAUAGGAAGACAAAAAGAAUGCCAGUCUUUCAUCAUUCAGGAGAAUGCAAACCAAAGAUUACUUGAGAUGCCAUUUCACCUGAGUCGGAAUGACUGUCACUAAAAGGCAAGAACAAC
ensembl:lincRNA Gm30043 predicted gene, 30043